rnacentral:misc_RNA from 1 species
GAUGAAGAACGUAGCGAAAUGCGAUAACUAAUGUGAAUUGCAGAAUUCCGUGAAUCAUCGAGUCUUUGAACGCACAUUGCGCCCCCUGGUAUUCCGGGGGGCAUGCCUGUCCGAGCGUCAUUACAACCCUCAAGCCCGGCUUGUGUAAUGGGCGGCCGUCUCUCCCCCCGGGGGGAGACGCCCCCGAAACUCAGUGGGGAUGUCGCGAUACCGAAGCCUCAGCUAAUGGGUAAACCACAGCUGCAAUGGCCGCGGCCGGCGUCCGCCUUCUACGGUCCGUCCGCCUAGCGCGGGCGGCCUUCUCAAGGUUGACCUCGGAUCAGGUAGGGAUACCCGCUGAACUUAAGCAUAUCAAUAAGCGGAGGA